UGGAAUGUGGCUUAGGGGUAGAGUGCUUGCCUCGCAAGGCAAGGGUUUAAUUGAGGCCCUGGGUUUAAUCCCCAGCACCAUAA
rnacentral:tRNA from 1 species